GGAUGUGAGGAUGAUCUGGCUGCGACAUCUGACAUCUGUCACCCCAUUCAGGGUUGAUUCAGCUGAUUUGGCUGGCUAGGUGGGUGUCCCCUUCCUCCUCACCACAUCAUGUGUAUCCCUCCCGAAGCUCUACUCUGGGUCGAAGAGAAUGAACAUCCCUGAUAGAGGAGGACUGGUCUUCGGUGAAGGGUCUACAAGUUGCUGCGCUUCCUUGCUAGAACUUCCAAACAACCUCUCAAGAAUAGAAAAAGAUAUAAGCUGGGCGCGGUGGCUCAAGCCUGUAAUCCCAGCACUUUGGGAGGCCGAGGCGGGUGGAUCACAAG
rnacentral:snRNA from 1 species